AAUAUUGCGCAAUGGGGGGAACCCUGACGCAGCAACGCCGCGUGAGCGAAGAAGGCCUUCGGGUCGUAAAGCUCUGUCAUAAGGGAAGAAGUCUCUUUUUAAAAGAGGUGACGGUACCUUAAGAGGAAGCCCCGGCUAACUACGUGCCAGCAGCCGCGGUAACACGUAGGGGGCAAGCGUUGUCCGGAAUUAUUGGGCGUAAAGGGCGUGUAGGCGGUUAAUUAAGUCAGGUGUGAAAUCCCGGGGCUUAACCCCGUGACUGCACCUGAAACUGGUUAACUUGAGGGCAAGAGAGGAAAGCGGAAUUCCUAGUGUAGCGGUGAAAUGCGUAGAUAUUAGGAGGAACACCAGUGGCGAAGGCGGCUUUCUGGCUUGACCCUGACGCUGAGGCGCGAAAGCGUGGGGAGCAAACAG
rnacentral:rRNA from 1 species